GUUAUUUUGGUGUAUUAAUAGCACGGUUAACUUCCAAUUAAUAAGAUAGUCAAUAACA
rnacentral:tRNA from 1 species